UACGUAGGGUGCAAGCGUUGGCCGGAAUUAUUGGGCGUAAAGAGCUCGUAGGCGGUUUGUCGCGUCUGCUGUGAAAACUCAGGGCUUAACUCUGAGCUUGCAGUGGGUACGGGCAGACUAGAGUGCGGUAGGGGAGACUGGAAUUCCUGGUGUAGCGGUGAAAUGCGCAGAUAUCAGGAGGAACACCGAUGGCGAAGGCAGGUCUCUGGGCAUUAACUGACGCUGAGGAGCGAAAGCAUGGGGAGCGAACAGG
rnacentral:rRNA from 1 species